CCUACGGGACGCAGCAGUGAGGACUAUUGGUCAAUGGACGAGAGUCUGAACCAGCCAAGUAGCGUGAGGGAUGACUGCCCUAUGGGUUGUAAACUUCUUUUAUAUGGGAAUAAAAUGUUCCACGUGUGGGAGUUUGUAUGUACCAUAUGAAUAAGGAUCGGCUAACUCCGUGCCAGCAGCCGCGGUAAUACGGAGGAUCCGAGCGUUAUCCGGAUUUAUUGGGUGUAAAGGGAGCGUAGGUGGAUUGUUAAGUCAGUUGUGAACGUUUGCGGCUCAACCGUAAAAUUGCAGUUGAAACUGGCAGUCUUGAGUACAGUAGAGGUGGGCGGAAUUCGUGGUGUAGCGGUGAAAUGCUUAGAUAUCACGAAGAACUCCGAUUGCGAAGGCAGUUCACUGGACUGCAACUGACACUGAGGCUCGAAAGUGGGGGUAUCAAACAGGAUUAGAUACCCGAGUAGUC
rnacentral:rRNA from 1 species